UACGAAGGGGGCUAGCGUUGUUCGGAAUUACUGGGCGUAAAGCGCACGUAGGCGGGUUGUUAAGUCAGGGGUGAAAUCCUGGAGCUCAACUCCAGAACUGCCUUUGAUACUGGCAACCUAGAGACUGGAAGAGGUUAGUGGAAUUCCCAGUGUAGAGGUGAAAUUCGUAGAUAUUGGGAAGAACACCAGUGGCGAAGGCGGCUAACUGGUCCAGCACUGACGCUGAGGAGCGAAAGCGUGGGGAGCAAACAGG
rnacentral:rRNA from 1 species